UGUCCAGCAACUCCUAUCCUUACCUCCUCGCAGUACUAGCCGGGGUACGAGUAACCGUAGGGAAGAUCGGGUAACCAACCCCCAGUGGGAACUUUGGUCGUAUGCUGACAGGGAAAAGG
rfam:Aedes aegypti strain Liverpool supercont1.24 genomic scaffold, whole genome shotgun sequence.